GUUCUUGUCUCUCCUCCCCUACAAACCUACAACUCACCUCCCAUUUGCUGACUGCCUUCAUCAGCACAGACAAGCCUGAACCAGACAACAGAAUACAUCUCAGCAGAGCACAAGGCAAAGGAAAUUUAAAUCAAAACCCAAUAUUCUGAAGAAUGGAUCCCAGCCAGUCUUUUAAUCAGCCUCCAGGGGCCUGGAAUUCAUCUGAAAAAUCAGCGAUGUUGUAUCCUUCGGCACCACCACCACCAUACCAGGCCAAUCCUGCUGGAUAUCCUCCCUCCUUUCCAAGCCAGCCAUUCCCCCAAGGCCCCUACGCCCAGGGGCCGUAUCCAGGACAGCCCGUGGUUGCUGUGCAGCCUGCAGUUUUUGUGACAGGCACUCCACUGGCUAGUCAAGUGCCAGAUUACUUGGGUUACUCUAUUUUUACCAUGCUGUGCUGCUGUUUUCCUCUGGGCAUUGCUGCACUUAUUUUCUCCUGCUCUGCUCGAAAUGCCAACUACUCAGGACAGCGAGAAUUAGCAGAGAGUAACUCCAAAACGGCGCUCAACCUGAAUCAUGCUGCCAUUGGUAUUGGCCUCAUUGUCAUUGUACUGUUGAUAAUUGUUAAUAUUGUACUUUGAGUUGAUAAAAGCUAACAGAGCUGUCAUGGUUGGAUGUAGAUUACAAACAGAUUUGAUUCUUUGCAUUGCAAAUGCUGUUUGCUCAAUGUAUCAUUAUAGCCUACUUACAACAUAUGCUUUAAGGCUGAUUAUUGUAUGUUUAGACUUUUUCUGCUUAUCUUGUGUGCAGCUGUGCUAAUUUGAGCUUUUUACAUACAUUUUUAUUAUGUACAUGUAUUGACAUAAAAUACAUUCACUGAUUAUAUCUUUCAAAUGACUGUACGUGAAUUCUUUUCUCACUCACACACACAGUGGCGGCUCGUCGGGGGAGGCAGGGGAGGCACAGCUUCCCCAUAAUUUUGAGGUGAAAAUGGGUUUAAUGUUAAUAAAAUUCACAAUUCAUUUCAGUUCAUGUCUCAGAAUGUGUAUUUUUUGUUUGUAAUUUCACAGUUGUAAUACCAUAACGUGAAAGCGCCGCUUUUCUAUCGCGAAUGUGCC
rnacentral:lncRNA from 1 species